rnacentral:tRNA from 1 species
GCGCGGUUGGUCUAGCGGCUAUGACCUCAGCCUUCCAAGCUGAUGACCCGGGUUCAAAUCCCGGACCGUGCAC